AUUUUAUUAAGCAUUUCAUAGCUGAAGAGGUGCUUCGAGUGUACUUUUUAGUUUUCGGUGGUGCUCUUGUUGAUUGUCUUAAUGCUUUUAGACACACUACAAACACAUGCAGCAAUGCUUGCAAUUCCCUCAGCCCCUCUUAGCUCCAUGCAUGUGUAAGUACCGCCCAUUUCUUUCUCAAGUAUAUAAGCUGAUUGAUAUGUUGCUUUCACCUACAUCAUCGUUGCAUAUAUGUUUUCUAUAUGCAUUGAUUUAACCCGCAUAUAUGUUCUCUAUGUCGUGCGACGCACGCCGCCAGCGCAACCUCCCUCACCGCUGACCGUCGAACCUCGCUUGUCCGCCUAUCCUGUGGAGCACGAUGCCCGUCAGCGGCCCGCUCGUCCGCCUCCCUCGCACGACAAUAUUGGCGGCCGCCCGACAGUCUCUCAUCUAGCGCUCGGCGCCUAUCCCUGGCCCAUCCCCCACACAGACAGGGGUGACUCUCCAUCCUCCACAGGGUCAGAAACAAAGAAUCCACCACCUGUGGAACAGUUCAUGCACCCCGUCACCAUCGAUUCGAUGGUCUACAGAUCCACAAUGUUGAGUUUGCAAAACUUGCAGAUGUUUGAUAUAAGGUGCCCGACUGUACUACAUGGAAGAAAGCUCAAUGAAAUGAAAAGGGGGAAAAGGAAUAACCAAGGAGGGGAGGGGAUCACAAGCUUGAAGCCAACGGCAGGUUAUGGCAUCACCUUAAAUUUGUAACUCCAGUAACUAAGUGCAUUUCCUUUUUUAGGUCGAACUUGUGAUCCUUCUUAUUACUGAAACCAAGUAUCCACCUGAGAUUGAUUGUUCUCUUAUUGUGGUCUGACAAGACUUAAAUAUUGGUAUGCCCCGAAGAGUGUCUUAUCUCAUGAGUUUUUAUAUCUGCAGAGUGUGCACAUGAGUUUCUUCCCUUUCUUUACUUAUUAAUAAAAAUGAAGUACAAUGCAUGUUAUCAUUAAUAAAUUAAUAACACUAAGAAGGAAUUCAGAAUAAUGACAUACUAAUAACAACAAGUUGGAAUUCUGAACAAAAACACUGCAUGAGAAAUAUAGCAUGCACCUUAACAUAGAAAUAUCCUUUUCAAUUGCUCAUAUGUUUAAUACUGCAAAUGUUGUUUUUCUGUUCUCUUAAGAAUGGUUUUAGAUAGAGAGCUGCGCCCGUGUUGUAUGCCAACAUUAGUCCUUCGAUUUGUCAUUUUUGACUCAGCAUAUGGUCUCUAUAGUGGAACUAAACCACCCAAUUUUCUUUUCGAGAUAUCCGUGCCGCCGUCAUCAUUCAUCCGGACUCAGCAGGAGAAGGUCCACCCAUCUGCGGCGCCGUUGUUGUGGUCCCAAACUAAUUCUGAUAUCUGAAGGUCAUCGCUGCAUUCAGAUUUGAGAGAAGUUGGGCUUGAAUCAUCAAAUAUAAUUCUUGGCAUUGUGACGCAUUCCUUUCAAGAGGGCCAUCCAUCCGCUCCUCAAGCGUUCCAUAACUUGCAGGAUACUCAGGGUUGAGUUGACUAGCUUGCUCAUCAUGGAUGAUCUUUGCAUUACCUAUACACACCCUCAGAUAUUGAGGUUGUAGAAAUUAGUGAUGCAGAUAAUUGUCAUCAAUUAGGAAAAACAGGUCCCAGUCGUAUUACGCCCAAAGCUAUCGAGAAUGCCAAUUUUAGAAAUAUAUUAUGCACCUUUAUUGAAUUUUUUUACAGGCAGCUAUAUUCAUAGUUGUACCAAUCCGAGUAAUUCAUAUUGGAAAUAUUAAUAUUGCCAAGGAAACAUAAGAUGAUUCAUCUGUUGGACUUUGUGAUGGGAGGCCAUGAUUAAGAAUGAUAACUUCAGGUUUCACCUUAAGUCUGUGGAAAGAGUUAUU